UGGACAACGUUUCCCCAUCUCAAAAGUAUAUCUGCCCUUGCGAAUGUCAGACUCCACUCAGUGAGGCUCAUCGAUCUGCAGUUUGAACAUGAUUUUUCUCUCCAAUUUCGUGGUAUCCAAACACCCAAACUCUCUGUCUCGUCUCAUCGCUGCAACUCUCGUACGGACCCGGGAGAGGCGUGCAUCGUCCCAAACACGACCCAACCAAGCCGCACUGCUUCUUGACACAAUGCCCACUUAACCCGGAAGCCAGCCGCACAUAUGUGUGCCUGGCGACCGUGUCAGCAUGCACUGCGCCCGGCCCGCCACAGGAGUUGCUAGUGCGUGAUGGGACAAGGAUAUCCCUGCCGGCCAAACCCUCCCUAACCCGGACGACGCUAGACCUUUCCGGUCAACCAGUACAAGAAACAUUUGAAUACAAAGUUGCCUUCAUGGCUCUAUUUUACAUACAGUGCAUUCGGAAAGUUUUCAGACCCCUUGACUACUCCCACAUUUUCUUACAUUACAGCCUUAUUCUAAAAUAAGUCUGUCCUUUAGCCACUCCACUCCCACUUGUUCCAAAGCCACUCCCGCGUUGUCUUGGCUGUAGGGUUAGGUUCGUUGUCCUGUUGGAAGGUGAACCUUUGCCCCAGUCUGAGGUGCUGAGCGCUCUGGAGCAGGUUUCAUCAAGGAUAUCUCUAUACUUUGCUCUGUUCCUCUUUCCCCUCGAUCAUGACUAGUCUCUCAGUCCCUUCCGCUGAACAACAUCCCCACAGCAUGCUGCCACCACCAUGCUUCACUGUAGGGAUGGUACCAGGUUUCCUCCACACGUGAUGCUUGGCAUUCAGGCCAAAGAGUUCAAUCUUGGUUUCAUCAGAUAAGAGCAUCUUUUUUCUCAUGGUCUGAGUCCUUUAGGUGCCUUUUGGCAAACUCCAAGCGGGCUGUCAUGUGCCUUUUCCUGUGCAGUGGCUUCUAUCUGGCCACUCUACCAUAAAGGCCUUAUUGGUGGAGUGCUGCAGGGAUGGUUGUUCUUCUGGAAGGUUCACCCAUCGCCAUCCAAGGAAGUCUGGAGCUCUAUCAGAGUGACCAUUGGGUCCUUGGUCACCUCCCUGACCAAGGCCCUUCUCACCCAAUUGCUCAGUUUUGCCGGGCAGCCAGCUCUAGGAAGAGUCUUGGUGGUUUCAAACUUCUUCCAUUUUAGAAUGAUGGAGGCCACUGUGUUCUUGGAGACCUUCAAUGCUGCAGACAUUUUUUGGUACCCUUCCCCAGAUCUGUGCCGACAGGAUGCACCCGAGUGAAAUAAGGUCAUUUUGUUUUUUUAUUUGAAUACAUUUGCACAAAUUUCUAAACCUGUUUUCGCUUUGUCAUUGUGGGGUAUUGUGUGUAGAUUCAUGAGGAAAGGGGUCUGAAUACUUUCCGA